ensembl:lncRNA
ACAGAAUCAGACACGACUGAAGCAACUUAGCAGCAGCAGCAGCAGCAUAUAUACACACACUCAUUUCAUAUGUCUCCUUUUCCUUUUUACUAAGUUUCCCUGCUUUUGCUAUUGUCUUCUUCCUCUUUCCACUGAUUUAUCACUAGAAUUAGUUUGAGGUCUGGGCUAAGCCCAUUCUGAAGUUCAUCCUGUCUCCAUCAGAGCCUUUUCUGAUGUUGACACGUCUGGUUUCGUGGAGGAUUUCUGUCUGUCCCUGGCAGGCAUGAAUGUGCACAAGAUUCCAGCCUGGAGGCAGGAGGCUGGAGGCAGUGUGGAGGCUUGGGGGUUUCAGACUUGGAAGAGCAGCCCUGGACACAGCAAGCAUCUGUCACCCCAGGGGUGGUAGCAAAGCACCAGCCUCAACUGUCACUCCAAGAAUUGUCACUUCCCGUGGACUUGGCAUGGGAGGCACUGUCCUGAACUCAUGGGAAACACUGCUAGUCUCUUCGAGGUGACUGGGGAGCUUCGGGGGACCCCCUAGUCCCUGCAUCUGAGCAGUGGGCAGUGCAGGUUGCUGGCUGAAGUGAUCUCCUUCCUAUACUUAGGCUAGUGGGGCCGGGGAAAGUUUGAGAGGGNNNNNNNNNNNNNNNNNNNNNNNNNNNNNNCAGAAAGAAUUGCUCAACAAGGGAAAAAGGAAAACGACCCAAGGGCAUGGACACUUGAGCUUAUAGCCCAGACCUCCCUGCUGCCCUCCCUCCAGAAAGAUCUUACCACUCCCACCCCACCAGCCACCUACGAGAGGCUUUUGGUCUGUGAUUGGCCUACAUUGAGGAUCAUGGUUCUUUUAAAUCUUUGCCUUUCUAAUAUGCAAAAGAUAGCAUUAAAUUGUUUCAAUUUGCAUUAUUUCGAAACUGUCAUGUUUGCACAUAUUUUCCUAUUUCUUGGACAUUUGUAAUUUCCCCCCGCCCCGAGCGAAACUCAUUAAGAUCUCAUUGUGUCAGAUGUCCACUUUUUUCUAAGUAAACUUUACGAAGUAUUUAGCUCUGGCUGGCCUUUCACAGAUGGUGCAAAUUUAUUUUUCCAGUUUGUGGUUUGCCUUUUAAUUCUGUUCAUCAUGCUUUUGAGUGUAUUCAAUGCAGGCUCGUCUGGGUGGUCGAAUGAAUCUAUGGGUGAACUCCUUCAUGGCUUCCCUUUUGGUGUCAGAUUUGGCAAAGGCCUUCCCCAUUGAAAGCUGCAUUUGUCCAAAGUCAUAUUUUUUCUGGUUCUUUUUGUGUUUGAAAAUUGUAUGCAUGGAAUUCGUUUGGAAUGUAUGCAUUUAAGAUGGAGAGCCAGCUUAGACAAGUAGCCCAUAUGUUCUGGAAUCCUUGGUGGAAUCACCCAUUCUUCAUCCAUGUAUCUGAUAUAGAAAAUCUGUGUAUACACUUGGUCAGUUUCUAGACUUCCCUUUUUAUUACAUGGUCUUCUCCAUGGACCCCACUGCCCUGACUGUUCUAGCUUUAUUAUAUGUUUUAGUAAAUGGCAGAGCAAAUGUUCUUGUUUCUUUCAUCCACAAAAAUCCCUGUUGAUUAUGGCAUUGUUUGUAGCUGAAGAAAAUGAUAAACAGUUGAAAUCUUCACCCAUAGUGAAACUAAUCACAACAUUUGAGUGCAUUCUAAGGUGGAAUCCAGUGUGCAAAAUGAAUGAAGUGGACCUAUGUGCAUUAGAGAGAAGUCCAAGAUGUGAAUUCCAAAAUGUCUGGAAAAAAAUUGUGAUAAAAUAUUUUUAUUACAAAACAUUAACGUGUAUAUAAGUGUUUAGGUGGAUGGGCAGGGGUGCCGUUUGAAAGCACACCCUAAGGAGGAUGGAUUCUGUUCAACAGAAGGGCCUUCUGUCUACCACAGUGAGUUAGGGGCAGUUUUGAUCAGACCUAAGAUGCUGGUUGUAACAGAAUGAGAAGCAAGUGGCACUCCCAGGACAAGCCAGGAGAGAGUGAGGGAAGGGAAAGAUGGGCUGGGGGAAAGAAAUAUAAAGGACAUACGCAAGCUAAUAAAGGGAUUCAUUGUAAUCCAAAAUUCAAAUCUAACUGGGCAUCCUGUGUUUAGUCUCUAAUAAGAGUGGAGACAGAGGAAAGAGACUGAAUUCCUCAUAAAAAUAGAUGAGAAUUAUUUUGCUGUUGAUGUGGAUUUUAAAAUUUUUUUAUUUAUUUAUUUUUAUUUUCAGCUGUGCUGAAUCUUCACUGCUGCUUGGCCUUCUCUCUAGUUGCAGUGCGUGGGCUUCCCGUUACGGUGGCCUCUCUUGUUUCGGAGCACUAGCUCUAGAGAGUGUGGGUUUCAGUU